GAGAGGCAGCUAGUCUGCUCAUGGCUGCUGAGUAGAAGGAGGCAGAUGGUGUGCUCUGUCUCCGAGCAGUAAUACUGAAAUCAAGAAAGGUAUGCUCCUAGUGCCCAGCUAACAAUUGUGAAGCUAAAAGCAGAAGUGGCAGCACUGUGCAGAGAAUACGAUGCUAAAAUCAGUGAUAGAUGACCUGAAGAUGGAACGAGACUUCAUUCGCAAACAGCUUCAAUGCUCUACCUCCACAGAUAGACCUGGGAAGAUUACAGUAAUCAGCUCAUUUCACACUGGUUUCUUCACCAGUUCUUCAAGUGAAGAAACCAGUGUUUCAAGUGAAGAAGAUGAAAGUGAUGGAUCUAGUGAUGUAAAACACAGCAAGAAGUCAAGUAAACGCAAAAAAGGCAAGAAACAAGCAAAAUCUAAAAAGGAAGUAUACAGAGGCAAAGGGUGAAAAAUCCAAAACAAGUUUUACAGAGGUCAAAAAAGUACUGUCGGCAUACAAGAAAAAAGGUGUCUUGUCG